GAUUUCUUAUUUCACAUGUUUGUAGGCAAGAGGCGCCGAUGGGGGGCUUUUCUUUUGUAUGUUCCACCUGGAAUAGGGAAGUCUUAUUCAGCUAAGGCUGUUGUUACAGAAACAUGUCCAUGGGGUGAUGUGUUUUGGCCUCAUGUAAACCUGUCUCUACUUUCAGUCGCUGUUGGCGCUGGCGCUCAGCUUGCAACUCUUGUUUUGCUCCUCAUCAUUUUAGCAAUUUUUGGAAUGCUGUAUAUAGGAUAUGUCUAAAACUUUUGAACGGUAAGAUUGAAGGGCUGUAAGAUAUGUGACAUAUAGGUAGGUCUGCUAGAUGUAACAUCUUUAGAAGCUUGCUUGCUUUUGUAUAGGUCAAUAUUUUUUAUAUUGUGUGAACCAGGAGAUGAGCAAUUGUCACAACCUUCACUGUAUGUAUAGCUGUUACAUCUUUCUUGCUGGUUAUGUUGGCGGUCGCAUUUAUUUGGGCAAUGGGGUAGUUUUGGC
rnacentral:lncRNA from 1 species